rnacentral:rRNA from 1 species
GUGCUUGCACCUGGUGGCGAGUGGCGAACGGGUGAGUAAUACAUCGGAACAUGUCCUGUAGUGGGGGAUAGCCCGGCGAAAGCCGGAUUAAUACCGCAUACGAUCUACGGAUGAAAGCGGGGGAUCUUCGGGCCUCGCGCUAUAGGGUUGGCCGAUGGCUGAUUAGCUAGUUGGUGGGGUAAAGGCCUACCAAGGCGACGAUCAGUAGCUGGUCUGAGAGGACGACCAGCCACACUGGGACUGAGACACGGCCCAGACUCCUACGGGAGGCAGCAGUGGGGAAUUUUGGACAAUGGGCGAAAGCCUGAUCCAGCAAUGCCGCGUGUGUGAAGAAGGCCUUCGGGUUGUAAAGCACUUUUGUCCGGAAAGAAAUCCUUGGCUCUAAUACAGUCGGGGGAUGACGGUACCGGAAGAAUAAGCACCGGCUAACUACGUGCCAGCAGCCGCGGUAAUACGUAGGGUGCGAGCGUUAAUCGGAAUUACUGGGCGUAAAGCGUGCGCAGGCGGUUUGCUAAGACCGAUGUGAAAUCCCCGGGCUCAACCUGGGAACUGCAUUGGUGACUGGCAGGCUAGAGUAUGGCAGAGGGGGGUAGAAUUCCACGUGUAGCAGUGAAAUGCGUAGAGAUGUGGAGGAAUACCGAUGGCGAAGGCAGCCCCCUGGGCCAAUACUGACGC